rnacentral:misc_RNA from 1 species
AACGCACAUUGCGCCCGCCAGUAUUCUGGCGGGCAUGCCUGUUCGAGCGUCAUUUCAACCCUCGGGCCCUGCUUCGCCGCGGGCCCCGGCGUUGGGGACCGGCCUCCGCAUCGGACGGCCGCCCCCGAAACCCAGUGGCGGUCCCGCCGCGGCCUUCUCUGCGUAGUAGCAAUCACCUCGCACUGGAGAGCGGCGCGGCCACGCCGUAAAAAAGACGAAAUUCUGAAGGUUGACCUCGGAUCAGGUAGGAAUACCCGCUGAACUUAA